rnacentral:rRNA from 1 species
GGGUCUGCGUUUCAUUAGCUAGUUGGUAGGGUAAUGGCCUACCAAGGCAACGAUGAGUAGCUGGUCUGAGAGGAUGAUCAGCCACACUGGAACUGAAACACGGUCCAGACUCCUACGGGAGGCAGCAGUGGGGAAUAUUGCGCAAUGGGCGAAAGCCUGACGCAGCAACGCCGUGUGAGGGAUGAAGGCUUUCGGGUCGUAAACCUCUGUCGGAAGGGAAGAACGGGCAUUGGUCUAAUAGGCCUUUGUUUUGACGGUACCUUUAGAGGAAGCACCGGCUAACUCCGUGCCAGCAGCCGCGGUAAUACGGAGGGUGCAAGCGUUAUUCGGAAUUACUGGGCGUAAAGCGCACGUAGGCGGCCUUGUAAGUCAGGGGUGAAAUCCCACGGCUCAACCGUGGAACUGCCUUUGAAACUGCAGGGCUUGAAUCCGGGAGAGGGUGGCGGAAUUCCAGGUGUAGGAGUGAAAUCCGUAGAUAUCUGGAGGAACAUCAGUGGCGA